CUUCUAGCAAAAGGGUAGCGUGGU
rnacentral:siRNA from 1 species